GGAGAAUAAAUGAAGAGGUCAUUUUCAUUUUGAGUGGACUGCCCCUAUAAUAGUUUUCCAUGGGGUUUGCCCUGAGUGUAACUGUAUUUAGUUUAAAAUAGAUCUAUGAAAAGGAAAUAUAACAUUUUAAUGGCAAUGUCUAUGGCACAAGACUUAAAUAAUAAAGGAUCUGUAAUAAACCUUAAACUUAAAGCCCAACUCUUCUUUUUCAUCAUCAAAAGCCCACUGUCAGGCGCCUCCCUCAGCAUCUCUUCCAGUGCGGAUUACAGUUCCCUCACCAUGGCAGUCUGUCCCGCUCUCUCAGGGUGAUCUGGGCCUUCUCUUCACCAACUCCAGCCCCUUCACCUCUACACAGUCUCUGCUGGUCUUUCCUCCCUCGGGAACCACCUCCAAACCUCUGCUCCGUGCUACGUUUGGUUCCUACACAGUCACACAGGUGAUGUCUGAACCCAUUCCUCCUCUGACUUCUCCUCUCACGGCUUCGCUUCUGUCUAAAGGUGUUGUGAAAGAGAUGGAGGCUGACAGAGGAGAGCGGUUCAGAGUUCGAGUGCUGUUUCACAUGAGAGGUGAUGUUAACAGAGGAACCUGCGUUACUCUGCAUGCUUUCAAACAGACAGAGGAGCAGAAAGCUUCCUGCAUCACUCAGCCACCGUUUGGGUUGUGUGUGGUUACUCUAACAUUUCCAAACGACUGGUUUGAGCCCGCUCAGAACACAGAGGCGAACCUGGACCAGACUUUCAAGCAGCGUUACAUAAGCAGAAACCGCUCUCGCUCCCGCAGCCGAAAGAGAAGGCAUCCGCAUAUGCCAGCAGGACACAGGGCCCGGCCUGAUCAAAUUCAGCUUUACUACUCAUCCUUUGGCAUCCUGUCCAUUAAAACCGGACCCCCGCGGUGCGUGGAGGACACAGUAGAGCAGUCAGAGAGAAAGCUUCUCUACAUUGGUCCUGUGGGACUUGAGGAUCAAGAGAUCAACAAAACCAAACAAAGCCCUGCAUGUUUAGACACAAAGGCAGAAGAGAAGUUCUGGUUGGAUUCCAAUGUGUUAAUCGUCUACAGCAAAGGGCCUGUGCCUGCCGGACAGCCAAUCAGAGUGUCUGUAAACCUAAGGGGAAAUUAUAGUGAGGAGUCUCUGACCAUUAGGCUGAAAGUGAAAAAAGGAUUGCUAUCUCUGGAGGUCCAUCCCGUCACACAUUCUGACCUGUGGAUGGUUAAUGUAGAACAGACGACAGGUUCAAAACACGAUGUUGUUUCCAUCAUUACUCGCAGCACCGGUACACUUCCAGACAGAACUGGCACUUCUGCUCUUAGCCAGAUCUCCUGUCUCUCAUUUGAGGCUUUACACAGAAACUUUGGCACAGCGAUGACUGUCAGUGCCAGCUGGUGGGUGGAGUAUUCAACUCGCAAGUUUUACAUUUCACCACACGGGGCAGUGACAAGCUUCUUCUCCUUUACCGACAGAGAAGUUGUGGGCAUCGCUCCCAUCACAGAGAGCAACACAAUUAUCAAUACAGCCAUCCUGACAAGUGAGCCCGUGUCACUUCCUGUCAUUGUCCUAGCGGUGGGCAUAGAUGGCAAAGUUUCUGAUUUGACCACAGCGGUCAAGUGCCAUUCAGCCAAUGAAGACAUUGUCAAGGUGUCUCAUGACUGCUCUGUGGUUUUUGUGGACGGGAGUGAAUCAGGAAGGGGCAGCAUCUGUGUGGAGCUGGAGUUUUCCUUGGGAACGCUCAGUGGCUCUUUGUGUUUGGCCGUGUGGACUCCUGUAGUUCCUCUGCGUGUGUCUCUCUCCGACUCUGUCCUGAGUCCCAUCAGUGGCUGGAAUUACUACAGUGAGAACGGGUGUGAACCGGUUUAUCAGAGGUCCACGGUACAGAUUUUGGCUCAAUUCAGUGCCCAAUCAGCAGCUCAAGGGGGUCAACCGACCUACAUGCUGGGAUCUCCGGACUGGUUUGUGGAUGUGACCGAGCUUGUCCGUGACUGGCUAAGAAUAGAAAACCCAUAUAUUGCAGCGCUUGAUAAACAAAAACAUCUUAUCGGCCUCAAGCCUGGACUCACAUCAUUAUAUGUGGUUUCCAGUCAGUGGGAUGGAGUGCUUGGAAGGGCUAACGUGAUUGUAACCUCUGAACCUGUGACUCCCGCUGACCUCUCUGUUCAGCUGGUGGGAGGGCUUGGCCUGUCUGUUAAUCCCAGCCCAUCUCACCCUUCUGUUGUCACAGCAACAGUGAAUGCUCACAAUACACUCUACAACCACGGACAAGAGGCGUCUAUCAGUGUCUGGAUCCAGUUCAAUGAUGACUCUGCCAUAUUGAUGUCUGCAUUUAAUGAGGUCCCCUAUACUCUACGGCUGUCCUCUUUGGCAGAAUCUGUGGUUGCAGUAACGCCUGCUCCAUCCCAACGCAUUUUGGCACAAGGUGAUGGCGGAGGACCUCUUGUUAAAGCCGAGCUUCUGGUUUCCAGCUGUGACCCAGCAUCUAACCAUGUUGAACUGGAGGCAAUUCAUAAAGCAAGCGAAGCCAAAAGACUGGCUAAGGGGUCUGGCUGGAUAAGGGUGAACCUAAACAUGGACUUUUGGCCAAUAGGGAGUGAGGAAACCAACUUUGAGAUGCACGAUGUGACUGAUAUGCUCGUCGAUUCCAACAGUGAUCUGUAUGAUGACUUUGAAGAUCAUGACAGUACAGUAAAUGCCACAAGUGAUUAUGAUAGUGGCAAUGACAUAUUUAAACGAAAAAACGUGGAGCAGGCGGUGUUGAUCCCCAACCAUGAAGAGAACGCUGUCUAUUUGUCUCCUGGUGUGGAAAAGGAGAGGAAAGAGGUUAAAACAGCUGAUAGACAGGUAGAGAUUGGCAUUGGAGCUGUCCUGUCUCUGCUUUGUCUCUCAUCCCUACUUUUCCUGGUCAACUGCCUACCAUGUGCACUAAGAGAACAAAGAUAUAGAGAAAGACGAGAGGGAAAUGUGAAAGACACUGUGGAGGAGGAACCUGGAGAAGAGCAAGAGGAGAAUAGACAAGAGGAAAAACAGUGCAGAGCAGUGAUAACAGGGAAUAAUGACAAAAUGGAAAUUCAAUGACCCUUUGACUUUACAAAUAUCUCAUGUUGCACAUUAUCUUGUGCAUAUUCUGGAGAAUGUUGCUACAUCUUUAUAUGUCCAUUGCAGUCACAUAGGUGAUUUUGUAAUUGUGGGUACAUUCGGCAUUUCAAAACCCAAUUUUUUAUAGAGCAAAUAAAACUCUUUAUAAACAGCAAUUCCUUACAGUAUCUUAUUGAAAGAAAAUUACAUUUUAAUCAUUUAGUGCUUACCAAACACAAAUAAUAUAUAUACAUAUAUAUAAUUAUUAAGUAUUUAUUUUGGGAAUAAUAUUGACAUAAAAUUGAACCAGAUUUUGGUAAAAACCCAAACAAUACAAAAAUAAAACUAUAAAAAAAAAAAAAAAUAAUAAUAAUAAUAAUAUAUAUAUAUAUAUAUAUAUAUAUAUAUAUAUAUAUAUAUAUAUAUAUAUAUAUAUAUAUUA
ensembl:processed_transcript